GGACUCUCUCCACGCAGCAUGUUAAAACGUAUUAAAUGACUCCGCUAUACUUUGGAAAUGAAGCUAUGUGAAAUUCCACGACAGUUUAUGGCGACGGGGAUGGGAUCCCUAACGCGGGUUAACGAGUCUUCGACGUUAAAACAAACCUCUGAUCAAGGUGGAGUGAACCACUUCAGAGGUUCCAGAGAAUCCAGCCCAUCCAGGGUCAGUGACCAGAAGUCCAUCAAGAGAAGGCCAUCUUCCAGACGUUUCGGCGUUUCGAGAGAUUCCAGCGGAUUCUACCGCCGAGACGAGUGACCCGGAUGCAAUCAGAGGGGCAGAAUCAGAGGGGCAGAAUUCUCCAAACUACAUUUGGAGAAUUCUUUAGUUCGUUCAACUUUGUUGUUCGUCGGAAGGCAAUUUCUAUUUAAAUGUAACACUUUCAGUUACUUUUAAUAAACCUACUUUACAGGUACAUUUAGGUGUAUUCUUUGAUGGCCGCCAGCGUCGCUUGUAAUUCUACGACGUCACUCUUUGCCAACAUCUCCACACAUAUGAAGUGUUCAUGGACAAAGUUGUUAACCCUGUCUUCCGCCCGGAUUUAUUCAGUCCUGGGCUCAACCACAUCAACCUAAUGAGUGUUACAGCCCUGACUGCCAAGAUACACAGAUGUAACGUGACGGCAGGAAUUUUAGCUUGUAUUCAUUCACUGCCUCUUCACUGUAAAAUGUAAUGUUCUUAAGAUCUUAAUAAAUAAACAUCUUAAUUAA